rnacentral:rRNA from 1 species
UACAGAGGUCCCAAGCGUUGUUCGGAUUUAUUGGGCGUAAAGGGCGCGUAGGCGGCCAGCACAAGUCAGUUGUGAAAUCUCCGGGCUUAACUCGGAAAGGUCAGCCGAUACUGCGGGGCUAGAGUGCAGAAGGGGCAACUGGAAUUCUCGGUGUAGCGGUGAAAUGCGUAGAUAUCGAGAGGAACACCUGCGGCGAAGGCGGGUUGCUGGGCUGACACUGACGCUGAUUGUGCGAAAGCUAGGGGAGCGAACGGG